rnacentral:lncRNA from 1 species
CACAAUUUAGAGAGUAUUUCAAUACAUGGCUUGUUGUGAGAGAUUUGAGGCCAUUAAGGUGGGAAGAUCAUAAGCAAGAUAACAUGACAUUGUGGAGAAGUCAACCUCGUGAUCUUUAUCGUAGGUCACUUCCUGGACUUGUGUUAGCUAUUUAAAGUUUAGACACAACACAACUCAUUGUUAUGUAAUGUACUAUGUACUAUGUAUCAUGAAUUUGGUCAUGUGAAUUAAACAUCAUUUUCAAAUUUUUCUUGAAGGAAUUAGUAGCUAUAUAUUUGGCUUGUGGAUAUAGUCAACUGUUGUAUCAUGAAUUUGGUCAUGUGAAUUAAACAUCAUUUUCAAAUUUUUCUUGAAGGAAUUAGUAGCUAUAUAUUUGGCUUGUGGAUAUAGUCAACUGUUGUAUUAAAUUGGAAAGGAAGAGAAUGAAUAAGAGGUUAAGAAUUAAGUUGAAAGUAGGUGAUAGCUUAAUGGUGCAUAUAAUAUGAAAGUAAGAGAUAUUAUGUUAGUUUAGUCUAUUGUUUUUAAUCUUAGUUCCUCUCUUUCUUUCGAUCGUUGUCUUUCCCUUCUUGUAGAACAACUUGAGAAAUGGAUACAACACCACCGAACCAAUAUCUAUUUAGCUGUUACUUUUUUCUCUCUAUCAGUUUCUCACGCGUCCUAUUUGAUUGGAUUCUAAAGUCCAAAAACUUCAUAAAUUGUUGGAACCUAAAACACCUUUAUACUGUUCAAAUUAUAGAAUCCAAAGUUUUUUAUUUAGUUUUAGAUUAUAAAAUCCGAAAAGUGUCAAACACUUACAAAUUUUGAAGUAAAAAAAGACACUUUUCGUAUUAUAUAAUCUAAAAUGUCAUAAAACAUUUCAGAUUAUAUAAUCCGAACGGUCUUAACACAGAAACAUGAAUUUUGUUUUUUUUGGAUAAGAUAUACAUAUGGUAAGAAUUUGAUAUAAACAGGCAUUCAUGAUCGUAUAGAAUAAAUACUUUAAUACAAAACAUAAAUAAAAAACACAACACAAUUUUCAAACAUUAAAUUAAAAACAGAAAUUAUCCAAAUGUUAGAAACCAAAUGUUCAAACAUAAAAUUAGAAUUAAUUCAAAGGUUACGACAUCAUUAAACUAAGCUCUGCCACCUCAUCCCUACCACGCCUACAACAAUAAACCUGCCCUCCAUGAACCCCCCACAUGAUUGCUUCCAAAUGACUCCAUUCAUCAGUCCCUUGCUCCGCCACACCACUGACCAUGACGACAUAGACUACGUCUCUGAUACGUCUCGAUAAGGAACAACCUUGUCCGAAUAAUAUAUUGAUGUAAGAUGACCAUCCUGGUGAGCCUCCUUGUUCCUCCUGUAGACGCUCCUUGAAAAUUUCCUUCAAGUAGAUAAAUCGUGCAUGUCCACAAUUUGUCCUUUCCACCUGCUCCCAUGCCUUCACCACUUCAGACCCCAACAACUGCACCAUCAUGUCAAAAGCCUCAGUCUUGGGCACUUAACCUUGUGGGCCAAGAGCAUGCCCUCGAUGGAGAGAUGCAGCAAACAAGACACGUCAUCAAGUGUCAUUGUCCUCUCCCCAAAUGAAAUAUGGAAGCUCGAAGUCUCCUCAUGCCAUCUCUCAACAAAGGCAGAACACGACCCAUGGUUAAUAACAUUAUAGCUGGUAUCCUGCAACAACUGAAAACCAGUGGCUCUCAGGCCAUCCUUAAACCAUCGUGCAACCAUUCGAGCCCUGUUUUCUUUAUCAUGUAUCGUCACAAUCUUCUUUCCGUUGUUUAUAUAUUUUAAAUUGUCACGCCAGUGCAAAGAUAAAAAACAAAAAUUUAACAUCAGUUUCACAAUAAUCAGAAUAGUACAUGAAAAAAAUAACAACAGUUUAUAAUAAUUAAAACAACAUCGGAAUUUAAUUUACAUUUGAUAAAAGGUGUAGCGUUUUACCACUUCAUCAUCAGCCAUCCCAGCCAGGUGAACAUGAUACAUGGCCAGCACAGUCAAGUUGUGUGGCCAAUCAGGGAGAGAGAGAGAUGUAACUGUUCCUAAAAAUAAUAUAUAUAGACUACUAAUACACUUGAAUUGCUAAAAAUGCUAACAAGAUUAAUCAUAAUAGUAAUAACAAAAUAUUAAUCAUAUCGACUUUAGUAGACCGACAUGGUAAUCCUAAAAGACUGCUUUAUAGCAUGUAGUUUGACCUUUUUAGCUAAAGGAAUAGAGAUCAGUUUCAAGAAGAAUGAGAAUGAAACUAUAUUUGGUAAACGAUGUAAACGAAUUUGUUGUAUUUAGAAUAAAACAAAACGAUUCUCCGAAGGGCAGUCUUUAAGGAUUUCAAGUUACGAAACUAUUCAUUGAAAAUACUUAAUACUUCAAUUUUCAAUGCAUUAAAUGAACACAUUUCCAUUGAAAUGUACUAUCUAAAAUCUUUAACGGAAAUGUUAACAUGUGCCCUUAAGGCACAUGUUGCUUAAGGCACAUGUUAAUAUACCAAACAUGAAAUUUUGCAUUGGAAAUCGUGUUAAUUUAUUUUUCAAAAAGUUAAAUAAUUCAUGUGAAUUAUUUCUUCUCAAUAAAUACUUACUAUUUUAAGAAUUAUUUGUGCCCUAAGAGCACAAAUUAUCAAGACCCUUUUAAAGAGUGUUCCUAAAAAAUGUCCCUAGCAAACUCAUUAACAUUUCCCUAAAACAAAUAUCAUUUUCUGGAAUAAUAGGAUCAUAUGUAUUUGCCCUAAAUGCACUCCUAAAACAACUUAAGUUAUAGUGCGCGAAAGAAGUCAUGUGUCCAUUGCAUAGAGAACUCAAAAUAUAUCUAUAAAACAGCUUAAUUUAAGUUUGUUCUGCAAAGUAUGUAUAAUUAAUAUUUAAUGAGAACUCAUGAUGUAUGCGUAUCCACACAAUAACUUGAGUUUAUGCAUACCAAGAACUUGUUAUCAAUAAAGUGUGGCAUACCUAUUUUUUGUACAAUCAUGAUUCUCUGGAUUGAAAGUGUCUUCUCCUAACAAAUGUCUUAUCAAACAGCGAGUUAACUAAGGAUCAUUGACCCAAUAAUGGAGCUAGAAGCAAAAACCAUGGGCUGCAAUUAAUGCAUAUAUAGUAUUAUCACUAAGAAAAUUAAUAGUCUCAUAAAUUGGCUGCUAAAGGACAAUAGACUGGAUUGGUUCUCAAUUGAAUUUAAUUAUACGGGGCUAUAUAUGAUUAUGAGUGGUCACUUUGGUUGAUUAUUGUGCAGGAGAAUGUCCAAACUCCAUGCACACGAGGGGUUUCCAUGGCUGGAUCCAAGACAAAUAACAAAUGAUACUAUUUUUGAUGCAAUAAGCUAUACUUUUACUAUAAUGACCUUAUUCAUUUAAUAUCUCAUUUCAUAUAUUUCUCUCUCCGCAAUAAAUAACUAAGGAUAAUAUUGGUAAAAUAACAUUUAAUGUUGCAUUGAACUUUGAAAGUGACAGUUAAAUAGGAUAAAAAUUUUCUCCAAAAGUGACACUUAAAAAGAAAACGGAGGGAGUAGGUUGCAUGCAUGUAUCUAUAUAUAGAAUCAAGAAUCAUUGUCAUUAUAUCUAUAUAUUCAAUUUUUAUAUCAAAAGAAAAACUGUACAUAUAUCAGACUGUCAUGUUCCAGAAGAAAGAUCAGUCGAAGGUAGGGAACGGUUUCCCUUCCAAUCAUCGCAGACAAUUAUGAGGGAUUUAAUUAGAAUGGACCCUAUCUAUGGUUGCAAUUUGUGAUCAGCACUAGUUUUAUUUGACCUUUGCUUUGUUAUUUACUUGAAAUUAUUGCUUUGGAAAUAUGGAUACCGAAUAAUUUUCUGUAUAUUUGAUACAUGAUUGGGUCUCUCAAAUAUGUUGUAUUAGCCUUAAUUUAAGUUAUACUCCUUCCGUCCUUAUAUGUAAUGUAACAUCCUUUUGCUUUUUUCACAUUUUUUAAGAAAAAUUGUUAGUGUAGUUAAUGUGUCUAUUUUAUGUGUUAAUAUUACUAAAUUAUCUUUUGUUUGUAUGUGCAUUAAAUUUGACUUUUUGUAUUUCAAGACAAAUUAGUAGGAUUAAUUAGGGGUAUGUUUAGGAAAGUAAUAAUAAAUGCAUCUAGUAAUUUGAAAAGAAGUCUACAUUUAGGGACAAAAAUAAAAUCAAAUGGGUGCUUACAUAUAGGGACGGAGGAGUAGAUACAAAAAGGUUAUAACUGGAUUUUUUACAACUGCAACACUAUACUGCAACUGUAGCAGUAGACAGGGCCGAACCUUGGGAGUGCAAGGAGCUCAACUAAGCCGGACCUCUAAAAACUUUGGGCCUAAAAACAAAUUAAGUAUAAUACCCACCCCAACUUAAAGAAAAAUUACAUGUUACUUCUUUUUCUUUCUUCGGUACACGUAUGAGUUUUUUCUAGACUCUAGUUCUACUUUCUGGACAUAAAUUUGAUGCUAUAAAACCACCAUCAAUUUGUAUAAUCACUUAAUCAGUCAAUUUGAAAAGCUAUUUCAUUGAAAGAAUCACAACAAUCAUUUCUUUUUCGCAUAAACCAUUCAUUUUUCCCUUUCCCACGACGUAUGAGUGACAUUCCAAACGACACCGUUAAGUAAAUUUCACCUCUCUUUCACUUAAUUUUAUUUUAUUUUGUUUCAUGUUUAGACGUUCUUCUGAUUCUGAUUUUUUAAUGAAGCUUAGCUACACAAAAAAAAAAAAUUAUAUUUUUAUUUUACUGGAUCUAUUUUAAAAAUAGAGCUGAGCAUCCUAUUUGAUAGGAACGGCCCUCACUGUAGAGGAUCUAAAGAAAGUCUAAUUUUAAAAUGUUGAUUAUUGGUGAAUAUUCACACGACCACAUGUUUUUUAACCAUAAGGUUAUUUUGUAAAGCCACUUAGGUGUCAAAAACACUACGACGAGGUCCUUAAUUAUAAGAUCAUUUUGUGUUUUUUCUCUCUUUUUAUAAGAUUAUGAUUAUUAUAAGGUUUAAUUAGAUUUGCAUGGUCAAAGACAAUCCAUUUGCUGGAAAUGGUAAUGCCAUCUUCAAGUUAUCUGACCCCGACGGUCAACUACCCUAAGUGGUCCUACUAACUUAUGAUUGAACAAAAUAAAAUGAGGUAAAAUUAAACUAAGGUUCAGAGGCAUCCCAAUUGUGGUACCACAUAUAUACUGUGAAUUGGGAGUUACAAUAAAUGCAAAUGGGGUCAUUUUCCUUUGCAUGAGUUGUGUGUAUAGUGAUAUUAAUAAUGGUUUGUGAUCCCUAAAAAAAAUAAAAUUUGUUAAUCAGAUAUCAAUUUACAAUAAAUUAUCCUUUCAUAGAUCGGAUAUCUUAUGGUCCAAUUGCAAACACUAAUCUCUCGAAUCUUAUGGAGCUGGGACCGUAUUCAUUUACCAACUUGGAUGGUUUGGACAUUAGACUUCCAAACAACACACAAGAGUAUGAGCCGAAGCUCAUCAUCUAUCAUCAAAACAAGAGCCACGAAUCUGUUACCGUUCUAUAUAAUAUAGGUCCAAAGACAAAGAAAAGAGACCUUGGUAUAAAGUAGCAAUAAUCUAUUAACUUUGUUCCAUUGAAUCUUGGAAUAAACUCUUUGCCCCCAAUAUUCUUGGAAUGACGGUGUUAUUAUGGUUGCUUUUGCCGGUCUUGGAAUCAAUAUACAAACACAUAACUUAGGAAGUUUAAAAGUUAAAGAAAUAGUACAACAAAUUUAAGAAUGAAAUUUUUUAUUACUAUACCAAACAAAAAAUAGAAAUAAAAGAAAUUCAAUUGAACACUCUUGGAAUCUUGAUAGUAAUUGAGGAUGCAGGGAAAUUUAAUAUUUUUGAAUGUGAUGUUGAAAUGGUGGUAAAUUGCCUCUUUUGAGCUACCAAGAUAACAACACUGAAAAACAUAUUGUUAGAUUAUAUUGAUCUUUUGAGUCAUUUCUGUUUAUUGAAACAAUGAUUGUUUCAUCUAAAUUUAGACGAUCUAAGCGCAGGUUAAUAUGCAAUUAGAAGUGUGAAAUGAAUCCCCUUAUGUCACAUUAAAAUGUUUGUAUUUAUAAAUUUUACUUUAUUUUUUAUUUAUGCCACAUAAUGUGUUUAACUUUUUUGAAAAAGGCAAAUUUGUUUGUCCCCUACUCAACUUACAAAUGCUUUUGGGAGGCAGUUGCCUAUGCUGAAAAAAUUGAAGAUCCUCCCCUCCUACAUUCCCAAAACAUCAAUUCAACCUCAUAGCACUUUUAGAUUAUACCUAAAGAUUCAAACAAAAGAGUCCUUCAACUACAAACCAAAGAGCUAAAAAGGGUUAGUUAUUCUAUGUAAACCAUUAACAUAUUUAAGAAUUUUGUAUGAGAUUUGAUAUGAAAAUGUGUUUGUUAAUAAAUGGUAGUAAUUUUUUAAGAGAGCUAUUUUUAACCCCCUCCCUAAUGAUAUCAUAAAAAUCACAUUCAUCCAUAUUUACACAUCUUGACCCAAGAAUACUUAGAUAAGAUCGUAAAAGAUCUUUUCAGUAUAAAAAGAAGUUUUGUGUUCGAAUUUAAUUCUGAGGUGUUUUGUGUUCGAAUUCAGUCUUGAUAUACAAGAGUGUUAAAAAAUUUAAUGAAAAGUUUUGCCACUAUUUAUGGUCAUACCCAACUUGAUUUAGUCUUUCUCCAGUUGCACAUAUAUGAUAUACAAUUGACCCAGAAUAUUUACACAUCUUGAUGAAAAACAAGAGCAUUAUUUCUCCCAUCAAAAUGGGUAAAUUGAUACAAAUAUUAUUUUUUUUUCCGCACGGAGAGGAGUGGUGUUUAAAAAUCAUGGUUGAGGAGGGUGGAGUAGCUACCAUUUUGUAAACAUUGAGUUAAGUCAAUUAAUCCAAAUUGUAAGAUGGUGUCAAAAUCAAUUUCAAAUUAACUAGAUUACAUGUUGUAAGACCACUCAGAUCCUACGUCAAAUAGCUCUUCCUCUAUAUGAAGAUGUGUGCUAAAAGUUUUAUAAUGGAUGAGAUAUGAAUUUUAUAAACCGAUUUUAUACGAGUUGAGUUAAACUUAACCAAAAUUUUAACACCACCACUAGUCCACAACCCACCCACCUCCACGGCUCCACCCCACAAAAAAGAAGCCUUUUUGGCUCUAAAAAUGCACAUACUAGUAAGUCCACAGGCUGUCAUCGUUUUCUCCUCAUAAAUGCAUUCCCACUUAGUAUCAUAUGCUAUGAUUUAAUAUAUAUAUAUAUAUAUAUAGAGAGAGAGUCAGGAUCCGUUGACACCAGGUGUCAACGGAUUCGUUGACACCAAAUCUCAACCGUACAUUAUAUUUAAUCAAAGGCUCACAAUAGUUUCUAAUUUAACUCAUCGUAUGCACCCUUUCUCUCAAUCUCACACUAUUAUUAUUUUCAGUCAUUCAAAAACUCAGAUUGCAUAUAUGAUCGCAUCAUGAUUUAUUCUUGUUUGCAUCUAGAUCUAUUCUCUCUUGGUUAAUUCCUCACAUUGAUCACAUCGCAUGAAGAAGACAUUGAAUUUAGGGGUAUAUUAGAUGAUAUUUCCUCUAAUGAUGGGAUUUUAUGUAUGGGAAUCAAUCACAACUCAUGACUUAUCAAUAUUUAUUUCCUCUAAUGAUGGGAUUUUAUGUAUGGGAAUCAAUCACAACUCAUGACUUAUCAAUAUUAAAAUGGUUAGUUUGUAAAUCAUUGAAAAUAAUGACACAUCUGAAUGCAGAUUAUAUCUAUAUUUGAAAUGAAUUUUAAAGAACCUUUAAUUGAAUUGUUUCCAAUUCCUGGCAUACAAACAAAAAAUCAAGAUUUAUCUAUGCUGGAUAUGAACGGCGGCGACUAUGUAAUUGAGAAAAAUCAAGAACGUGAUGCACAGAUUGAAAAUCCAGUCUGCGUAGGGAAUUAAGUUUUUUAACUAUUGAAGAGGACGAUAAUAUAUCAGACCGAGUGCAAGGAUUGUACACAUUAAAUUAACCGUGAGUUAACUUAGAAACUAUUGUAAGCCUUUAUAAUGUACGGUUGAGAUUUGGUGUCAACGAAUCCGUUGACACCUUGUGUCAACGGAUCCUGACUUUUAUAUAUAUAUAUAUAUAUAUAUAUAUAUAUAUAUAUAUAUAUAUAUAUAUAUUUGUAGUGUGACACAUAAAUCAAUCAAUCUCAACCGUCUAUGCUAAAUUUCUAGAACAAACUAAUGACACCAAACUUUAGCAUCCUUCUCUCAUCCAUCCCUAUAAAUCGCAACCUCCCAUGCCAUGCAAAAAUCAGUGGUAACUCAACAAGUACUAUUUUCUUUACAAAAAGUUUCAUCAAAAGAUGGACUCUAUGGUUGAAAAGCAAAAUAAGUCCAUAGUUGAAAUUCUCUACAAAGCACUUUUGGGUCAAGGAACAAUGGUAGCCAAAUUGCUAGCAAGUGAUCUUGAGUAUUGGUUCCAUGGUCCACCAAAAUGUCAACACAUGAUGAAGGUGUUAACAGGAGAAACAAAUCACAAAAAAGGGUUCAAAUUUGAGCCAAGAAGUGUCACCUCAAUUGGUGAUUGUGUGAUAACUGAGGGGUGGGAAGGACAAGCUUAUUGGGUUCAUGUUUGGACAUUGAAAAAUGGGUUAAUUACACAAUUUAGAGAGUAUUUCAAUACAUGGCUUGUUGUGAGAGAUUUGAGGCCAUUAAAGUGGGAAGAUCAUAAGCAAGAUAACAUGACAUUGUGGAGAAGUCAACCUCGUGAUCUUUAUCGUAGGUCACUUCCUGGACUUGUGUUACCUAUUUAGAGUUUAGACACAACACAACUCAUUGUUAUGUAAUGUACUAUGUACUAUGUAUCAUGAAUUUGGUCAUGUGAAUUAAACAUCAUUUUCAAAUUUUUCUUGAAGGAAUUAGUAGCUAUAUAUUUGGCUUGUGGAUAUAGU